UUAAUCGAGCUCAACACUCUUCGUAUAUCCUCUCAAUAUGGGAUGAGGGUCUCUACAGGUACCGUAAAUACCUAGCUACGAAAAGAAUGCAGUUAAUG
rnacentral:ncRNA from 2 species